rnacentral:rRNA from 1 species
GAUGAACGCUGGCGGCGUGCCUAACACAUGCAAGUCGAGCGGCAGCGAGGGGUGCUUGCACCCUGUCGGCGAGCGGCGGACGGCUGAGUAACGCGUGGGAACGUGCCCCAAAGUGAGGAAUAACUGCCCGAAAGGGUAGCUAAUACCGCAUAUUAUCUUCGGAUCAAAGGAUUUAUCCGCUUUGGGAGCGGCUCGCGUCGGAUUAGGUAGUUGGUGAGGUAAUGGCUCACCAAGCCGACGAUCCGUAGCUGGUCUGAGAGGAUGACCAGCCAGACUGGAAAUGAGACACGGUCCAGACUCCUACGGGAGGCAGCAGUGAGGAAUCUUCCACAAUGGGCGAAAGCCUGAUGGAGCAACGCCGCGUGCAGGACGAAGGACUUCGGGUUGUAAACUGCUUUUAUAAGUGAGGAAUAUGACGGUAACUUAUGAAUAAGGAUCGGCUAACUACGUG